rnacentral:rRNA from 1 species
GCCGAAGGUGGGACCAAUGAUUGGGGUGAAGUCGUAACAAGGUAGCCGUAUCGGAAGGUGCGGCUGGAUCACCUCCUUUCUAAGGA